GAUGAACGCUGGCGGCGUGCCUAAUACAUGCAAGUCGAGCGAACAGAUGAGGAGCUUGCUCCUCUGACGUUAGCGGCGGACGGGUGAGUAACACGUGGAUAACCUACCUAUAAGACUGGGAUAACUUCGGGAAACCGGAGCUAAUACCGGAUAAUAUAUUGAACCGCAUGGUUCAAUAGUGAAAGACGGUUUUGCUGUCACUUAUAGAUGGAUCCGCGCCGCAUUAGCUAGUUGGUAAGGUAACGGCUUACCAAGGCAACGAUGCGUAGCCGACCUGAGAGGGUGAUCGGCCAAACUGGAACUGAGACACGGUCCAGACUCCUGCGGGAGGCAGCAGUAGGGAAUCUUCCGCAAUGGGCGAAAGCCUGACGGAGCAACGCCGCGUGAGUGAUGAAGGUCUUCGGAUCGUAAAACUCUGUUAUUAGGGAAGAACAAAUGUGUAAGUAACUAUGCACGUCUUGACGGUACCUAAUCAGAAAGCCACGGCUAACUACGUG
rnacentral:rRNA from 1 species